GAUGAAGAACGUAGCGAAAUGCGAUAGGUAAUGUGAAUUGCAGAAUUCAGUGAAUCAUCGAAUCUUUGAACGCACCUUGCGCCCUUUGGCCAUUCCGAAGGGCAUGCCUGUUUGAGUAUCAUGAACACCUCAACUCUUCAUGGUUUUCCGUGAUGAGCUUGGACUUUGGGGGUCUUGCUGGCCUAUGGUCAGCACCUCUAAAAUAAAUCAGCUUGCCAGUGUUUGGUGGGUAUCACAGGUGUGAUAACUAUCUACGCUUGUGGUUUUCCACCAGGUAACCUUCAGCAGUGGAGGUUCGCUGGAGCUCACAGAUGUGUCUCUCCUCAGUGAGGACAGCUCUUUGAAUGUUUGAUCUCAAAUCAGGUAGGACUACCCGCUGAACUUAAGCAUAUCAAUAAGCGGAGGA
rnacentral:misc_RNA from 1 species